UUUGAUCCCUGCUCAGAUUGAACGCUGGCGGCAGGCCUAACACAUGCAAGUCGAGCGGUAACAGAGAGUAGCUUGCUACUCUGCUGACGAGCGGCGGACGGGUGAGUAAUGCUUGGGAAUGUACCUUAUGGUGGGGGACAACAGUUGGAAACGACUGCUAAUACCGCAUAAUGUCUUCGGACCAAAGCGGGGGACCUUCGGGCCUCGCGCCAUAAGAUCAGCCCAAGUGGGAUUAGCUAGUUGGUGAGGUAAUGGCUCACCAAGGCGACGAUCCCUAGCUGGUUUGAGAGGAUGAUCAGCCACACUGGGACUGAGACACGGCCCAGACUCCUACGGGAGGCAGCAGUGGGGAAUAUUGCACAAUGGGCGCAAGCCUGAUGCAGCCAUGCCGCGUGUGUGAAGAAGGCCUUCGGGUUGUAAAGCACUUUCAGUAAGGAGGAAAGGUUGGAUGUUAAUAGCAUUCAGCUGUGACGUUACUUACAGAAGAAGCACCGGCUAACUCCGUGCCAGCAGCCGCGGUAAUAC
rnacentral:rRNA from 1 species